UACGGGGGGAGCAAGCGUUGUUCGGAUUUACUGGGCGUAAAGGGCGCGUAGGCGGCCACCGCAAGUCGGUUGUGAAACCUCUGGGCUUAACCCAGAAAGGUCAACCGAUACUGCGGGGCUAGAGUGCAGAAGGGGCAACUGGAAUUCUCGGUGUAGCAGUGAAAUGCGUAGAUAUCGGGAGGAAUACCGAUGGCGAAGGCAGGUCUCUGGGCUAUAACUGACGCUCAUGCACGAAAGCGUGGGGAGCAAACAGG
rnacentral:rRNA from 1 species